rnacentral:rRNA from 1 species
UACGGAGGAUGCGAGCGUUAUCCGGAUUUAUUGGGUUUAAAGGGUGCGUAGGCGGAAUAUCAAGUCAGCGGUAAAAAUUCGGGGCUCAACCCCGUCGUGCCGUUGAAACUGAUGUUCUUGAGACGGCGAGAAGUACGCGGAAUGCGCGGUGUAGCGGUGAAAUGCAUAGAUAUCGCGCAGAACUCCGAUUGCGAAGGCAGCGUACCGGCGCCGGACUGACGCUGAGGCACGAAAGCGUGGGUAUCGAACAGG